rnacentral:rRNA from 1 species
UACGUAGGGGGCUAGCGUUGUCCGGAAUCAUUGGGCGUAAAGAGCGUGUAGGCGGCCCGGUAAGUCCGCUGUGAAAGUCGGGGGCUCAACCCUCGAAUGCCGGUGGAUACUGUCGGGCUAGAGUGCGGAAGAGGCGAGUGGAAUUCCUGGUGUAGCGGUGAAAUGCGCAGAUAUCGGGAGGAACACCAAUAGCGAAGGCAGCUCGCUGGGACGUCACUGACGCUGAGACGCGAAAGCGUGGGGAGCAAACAGG